rfam:Morus notabilis contig1531, whole genome shotgun sequence.
GUUAACGGUGAUGAGCCUUUAACCUGUAACCAUUUGUGGAUUUGAUCACAGAUGUUUAAGAACAUCAAAGAGACUGAGUUUGA